GACGGGGGGUCCAAGCGUUGUUCGGAAUCAUUGGGCGUAAAGGGAGCGUAGGCGGCCAUGUAAGUCAGGAGUGAAAGCCCUGGGCUCAACCCAGGAAGUGCUCUUGAUACUGCUUGGCUUGAAUGUGGGAGAGGAUAGUGGAAUUCCAGGUGUAGUGGCGAAAUACGUAGAUAUCUGGAGGAACACCGGUGGCGAAGGCGGCUAUCUGGCCCAACAUUGACGCUGAGGCUCGAAAGCGUGGGGAUCAAACAGG
rnacentral:rRNA from 1 species